rnacentral:rRNA from 1 species
UACGAAGGGGCUAGCGUUGUUCGGAUUUACUGGGCGUAAAGCGCACGUAGGCGGAUCGUUAAGUCGGGGGUGAAAUCCUGGAGCUCAACUCCAGAACUGCCUUCGAUACUGGCGAUCUUGAGUCCGGAAGAGGUGAGUGGAACUCCGUAGUGUAGAGGUGGAAUUCGUAGAUAUUAGGAAGAACACCAGGUGGCGAAAGGCGGCUCACUGGUCCGGUACUGACGCUGGAGGUGACGAAAGCGUGGGGAGCAAACAGG